rnacentral:rRNA from 1 species
UACGUAGGGUGCAAGCGUUGUCCGGAAUUAUUGGGCGUAAAGAGCUUGUAGGCGGUUUGUCGCGUCUGCUGUGAAAUUUCGGGGCUCAACCCCGGGUCUGCAGUCGAUACGGGCAGGCUAGAGUUCGGUAGGGGAGAUCGGAAUUCCUGGUGUAGCGGUGAAAUGCGCAGAUAUCAGGAGGAACACCGGUGGCGAAGGCGGGUCUCUGGACAGUUCCUGACGCUGAGGCACGAAGGCCAGGGGAGCAAACGGG